GUGCACUUUUGUAACUUCCUCAUUUUAAAGUUAAUUCUUGCAUGCGGUUCGAGAAAGCAACAUAACUUUUAAGGAACUUCACUUCUCUAUACGUCUUGAUCUGUCUGCCUGGAAGACCUGAAGAAAAUAGUUUCUGUCUCUCCUGACACACAAAGAUGGCUGCAGCUCUGACUCUCCUUCUCAUUGGCUGUCUGCUGCAGAGUGUCCACUGUGGAGAGUUUAAGGUCACUAUGCCGCAGACUAUAGAAGUUCUCAGGGG